GCGACGCAUGCGCCCGCCGCC
rnacentral:snRNA from 1 species